rnacentral:rRNA from 1 species
UCCUCCCUCUGUCGGCGUGCUUAACACAUGCAAGUCGAACGGAAAGGCCCCUUUGGGGGUACUCGAGUGGCGAACGGGUGAGUAACACGGGAGUAACCUGCCCUUGACUUCGGGAUAACUUCAGGAAACUGGGGCUAAUACCGGAUAGGAAUCCUUGCUGCAUGGUGGGGGUUGGAAAGCUUCGGCGGUUUUGGAUGGACUCGCGGCUUAUCAGCUUGUUGGUGGGGUAGUGGCUUACCAAGGCUUUGACGGGUAGCCGGCCUGAGAGGGCGACCGGCCACAUUGGGACUGAGAGACGGCCCAGACUCCUACGGGAGGCAGCAGUGGGGAAUAUUGCACAAGGGGCGGAAGCCUGAUGCAGCAACGCCGCGGGCGGGAGGACGGCCUUCGGGUUGUAAACCGCUUUCAGCAGGGGCGAAGCUUGUGGUGACGGUACCUGCAGAAGAAGCACCGGCUAACUACGUG